AUAAAUAUUUAUAUUUAAUACGGUGAGCAAGUAAAUGUACGGAAAGAGUAAUAUAGAUCAAUAUUAAAAAGCUUUUAUUGUGCUUUAAAUUUUGUUUUCUAUCUCCAAAUAUAUAUUAUCAAGGAGGUAAUACAUGCAUUUCAGCAUGACCUUAAUUUCCUCAUGAAUUAAGGACACUAGUUAGCUCCAACACAAAUGAUUUGAUACACAAAUUCAUGAAGCACUAGCGUAUGAUUGGGAUAUAUAUUAGCUAGUUCUGGCCAGCAGUUGAUCAGCAUAGUCAAAAGUGAACAGAGAAAGAGAAGGUCUAAAGAAUGCAGCUCUGGUUAUGUUAGCCUGCACGUUAAUUAAAAUUAAGAUGAUGUAAUGAAGGUCGUGUUGAAGUGGUAAACAGGGGUGAAGUCAGACUUAAGGGAUUUAUUAAAAAGAAAAUUUCAGUUGAAAAUAUUAUUAUUUAUAUAUGGUUAAAAUUAUCUAUUAGUUAUAUAUGGUAAAUGUCGAACCUACAUUAGUGAGUUUCAAGGGCGGCUCAACGUGAUUGGGAGCCUAAAGCGAAUUUUUAAUUUAAGGCUAAAAUUUAUAUACGUAUUUAUUCAAAA